rnacentral:rRNA from 1 species
GCCUUCGCUCUGGGAUGAGCCUAUGUCCCAUUAGCUAGUUGGUAGGGUAUUGGCCUACCAAGGCUGUGAUGGGUAGCUGGUCUGAGAGGAUGAUCAGCCACACUGGAACUGAAACACGGUCCAGACUCCUACGGGAGGCAGCAGUGGGGAAUCUUGCGCAAUGGACGAAAGUCUGACGCAGCCACGCCGCGUGAGUGAAGAAGGCCUUCGGGUUGUAAAGCUCUGUCGUCCGGAACGAAAAUGCAGGGAGUGAAUAGCUCCUUGAACUGACGGUACCGGAAAAGGAAGCACCGGCUAACUCCGUGCCAGCAGCCGCG